CAUCGAGUUUUUGAACGCAAGUUGCGCCCGAAGCUUCCGGCUGGGGGCACGUCUGCCUGGGCGUCACGC
rnacentral:rRNA from 1 species